rnacentral:lncRNA from 1 species
UUUUUAUUUAAUUAGAAAAGAGAGCAUGCAGGGUUUUCGAAACAUGUAUUCUUCUUCGAUUUAACUUCUAAAACUAAAAACAUAAACUAAUUUUAACUCGGAUAGAAUUUUACGGAAACAAAAGUUCCAGUACUAAACUCCGCCAAAACUCACAUUAUUCAGUAAUACAUUAGAGUAAACCAAAAAGACAAAAUGAAAAGCAAAAAUAGAUAGAUUGGCACUAAGAUUUCCUAACUUCUGAUUCUGAGAUACAAAAGAGUUGUAAAGCCCGCAGAUGACUGUGUGCCUAUAUCUUCCAAGCGGAACUGUAAAAAGAAUAAAAAUAUGAAUGAGAAACUUAGAAAGAGUUUCGGAUUAAGUCGGGUAACCAAUAAAUGAAUCUAGGGAAAGUUACCUUUUCAAAGCUCAUCUUUUGCUUGUUCUGCUUCUGGCUGAGCAGCAGCAGCUUUUGGUUGUUCUACUUCUUGAUGAGCAGCACCAGUUUUAUCCUUGUUCUUUUCAAUGAAUUCAAUGAUGUCUUCCUUUGUCCUACCGCCGUCAUAUUGUGAUAGUUUUCCACUUGCUGACCUGAAGUACAAGGUUGGAUAUCCUUGGACUUCAAAGGUGUCGGUUGGGAUAUCAUUGGCAGUUGCAUCCUGGAAAGCGACACAAUAAGCAUAGAAUAAAGUUAGCCAAAUCAAAAAAUAAAAGAAAAAGGAUGAUGUUAUGAUCAUCAAAGGCUAUAAAACAAGUCACAUAUCUCAUCUUACCAGUUUUGCAAUAACAACAUCAGCAUCACUUUGGAAUGAGACAGCUACUUCAUCCAAGAUUGGAGCCAACUGUUUGCAGUGACCACACCAUGGAGCAUAAAACUCAAUCAAAACUGCAAGUUAUAUAGUUUAUGUCAGUAAAUUAUAUUAGUCUUAACUCUGAAUGAUUAAGGCAAACAACUAAUUAAUAGAAGUCGUGAAUGAGAGAUGGUGAUCUCCGUAUGGUAAUUACUGCCACAUAAUGGUAUCCGAAAAACAUUUUACUUUCCAUGUGUAAUUUAUGCUAUAUACAUGAUCACAAGUUUGUAAUAGUAACAGCAUCAAAGAAACAUGUUACGAACUUCCAUAGAACAUAUACAAGAAGUGCAUAAAUCUUUAGCUUUACAAAAAAGCGAUUCUGGUUUUGAAUUUUGACAAUCUUUACAUGAAUGCAUUAUCUAAUCAUCUCAAAUAUAUUUGUCAAACUCUUUCACAUGCAGGGAACAAAAAUAUUUUGAAAAAUCAUAUGUUGUUUGAACACAAUGAAUACCAAAAUCUAUUAGAAUAAAGCCAAAAAUAAAAGGGAAUAAUUUAAUACCAUUCUUCCCAGACUUGAAAACUAUGUCCUCAAGAGUUUGCCCAACCACUACUUUAACAGGCUCGUUGUUAGUUUCAGGAAUAGGUUCAGACUUGACAAAUGGCUCAACCUUACCAUCCUGAAAAGAAAAUAUGAUAUAUUUAAAAUCUUCAAGACUAACAACAGAAGUAAAGGUACCAACUUAAAGAAGUCAAAGGAAAUAAGCUACUAAGAGAAAUGAGCUAAUACCUUGUAUGCCUUCAACCAAGUUGGGAGUUGAUCAAGUUCCAAAUUGGGUUUGAAAAAUUUCUUGCCAUCAUUAUGCUGAAUAAUAAUUAGAGGUACUUGGUCUUCCUUCAGUCCAAAAUACUGCAAAGAAAAGUCAUUGACAUUGACAAUGUCAAAUAUUAAUAUUAAGCAAAGAAUAACUUGAAAAUAUCUAAAUAUUAAAUACUUUGAUUUGAUACAAACCUGGAAGGCACCUUGGCUAGACUCAACAUCUCCAACAAGAAAGCUAACUCCCUGUUGUUUGUAUUGCUCAGCAAUUUCAUGGUAUUUUGAUUUGAAAGAUUCAGCUCCUUCGGCAGUAAAGUUGAUGAACAACAUAGCCUGCCAAUUUUAUAACCUUAAUUUAGAUUUACAGGAUAACAUGGGUGAAAAACAAAGGCAAAGGAAACAUUGUGUGUUUCGACCAGGAAAUGUAGCAAAAGCAAGCAAGGUUCGCAAAAUGCUUUGAGACACAAAAUGGUAAACUAAAGGCACAUGUAUCAACAAUAUGCUUCUAUAAAUUAAUAACAAAGAUGAAUCAUAAAAAUAACUUAAAUAGCACAUUACCUUUGCGUUGGGAGUGUUAAAGAAUUUGACAACAAAAGGGUGAUUGCUAGGUUCAUUGUUGAAGACAGUCACAAUUGGGAUACUGGAUUCUUCAAUGAAUUUCUCUAGAGCUUCAACAUUGAAAUCCUACGAGCAUGAAACAAUUUUAAACACCAAACAAAAAAAAAAACUAAAACAUGUAACAUGGAACAGUCAAGCUGCAGAAAUCAGAAAUACCUUUGAGUCCACAGAGAGCUCGUCAAAUGGCUUAAACAACCUAACCACAGGCCCAGACACUGAUGAGUCUCCCUUUGGAAGGUGUUUGGCAUUCAAAGUGUGACCAAAGUCAUAGUCAGAACGCAACUUCUCUGCUAAUGCAAUGAAGUUAUCGUACUCCUCUCCAGAAAAUUUAGGGAAAACUCCGACCUGUAAACAUUGAAAGAUAAUAUUAAGAGUUUAAUUUUCAUGCAUCGCAUUUUAUAAGAUUUAACGGUAUAUAUGAAUUAAAUUCUAAGAUUUAACUACAAUGGGUGGAUACUUACAAUAACAACUUUGUUGUCACCAACAAAAGCAGUAGCAUCAUCAGCAGAUUUAAUUUCUGUUGAUGCAGGGCCACUUUGCUUCUUCAAAUACUCAACGAUACCAUCAGCUUCACGGGGACCUUUGUAUUCUUGAAUGUUCUUUCCACCAUUCCUAAAAAUCUUAAUGGUUGGGAAUCCCUUAACAUCAUUUUCCGAUGCGAGGUCUUUGUUGUGCUCCUCAUUGGCAUCAACUUUAGCCAAAACAACUGGUGGCUCGUGAGUGCUCAAGAUAGAAGCAGCCUUCUCAUACUGCAGAUAUAAACAUAACAAAAAAUCAGCAUCAGCAUAAAAUUCCUUCAUUUUUUAACCAAAAUAAUUAAAGAAAAUAAAGGAAAACAAAUCACCUCUGGGGCUAGCUUCUUACAGUGUCCACACCUAGAAAGAUAAAAAAAAAACAAAAUCAAAUUAACAAUUAUAAGAUAAAAGCAAUGCAAUAAUAUUCAUAACAAUUGGUCAAAAUGAAAACUGGAUUUAAUCACAUUCUAUUACAGAAAUAUUAACAGCCUUAAUCAGGUGCAUGCAACAAAUACAAGCUGAAUAAAAAAAAAUUGACAAAAAUCUAAAAAUAAUUUUAAGAAGACAUUUUCAACUAUGAAACACAAACACAUGCACCAAUAACAAUUUGAGAAAAUGACAUAAUUCAAUGUAAUAACAUUUGUUAGUAGUAUCAGGGUGUCGUGUGUCAGAACACUGACAACACAGGACACCUGACAGGCCAUCGACAUAAGAUCAUAAGUGUAGUGCUACAGGGAUUAGCAAGUCUACCAAAGGAUUAUCUCUAAUCGUUGAAAUUAGUACAGAAAACGAAAACUAAUAAUAAUUAGACCUAAUUUAGCAUAAUUACCAAUUUCUAACAUAAAAUUAGCAAAAUUAAGAUCUAAAACACAAUAAAAGCAAAUAAAACAGAUCAGAACAACAAUUGAUGAAUCGAACAUUAACAAAAACAAAAAACAACAUAAAAAACAGGAGAAUCGAAACAUACCAAGGUGCGUAGAAUUCAACGACGAUGAAAUCGUGCUUCUUAACAGUAUCAUGGAAAUUAGUGUUAUCCAAUGUAAGAACAAAUUCCUUAGCGUCAGUUGAUGAUUCCUCAGCGAAGAUCUGAGAAGGAACCAACGCAAGAAGAGAAAACAAUAAACCAAAAAUCGAAACGUUUUUCGCCAUUGUUGGUGUUG